UACUUACUAUGUGUUAGUAAUUGGUCUCUGCCAGCAUGUUGAGGUGAGUAUAGUCUUUGAGCAGCUACAGAGCAUUGCCUUGUUUGGGGUUAAUGUCAUUUAUUUAGAUGUUCCCUGUUGGUGGACAUUUUGGUUGUUUCCAGAUUUCCCCUAUUUUCUACAGCAGUGUAAAGAGGAGCUCUAGAUGCUUGCAUUCCAUCCAAGAAGGUAUCCCUGAGGAUAAAUUCUUGAGAUAAACUGUAUUUACGUGAAGACAGAGUCUUGUUAUGUGCCGUCCCAUGAACUCCCAAUCCCCCUGCCUCAACCCCCAAGUGCCGAGGGGACAUGUGUACAAAUGAUCCUUCAGAGAACCUGUAACCCUGGCCUGGGAGGCAGUGCCAGGUCCCCACACCUUCUUCAGACAAGGGGCUUUCUUGUGUUUAUUCACUUUACUUUCAUGUGUAAAUGUUUUGCCUACUUGGUGCCCAUGGAGGUCAGAAGAUUGCAUUGACUCCUUGAAAAUGGAGUUACAGAAGUCUGGAAACUAUCAUGUGGGUGUUGGAAAAUGUACCCAGGUCCUCUGCAAGAGCAACAAGUACUCUCAACUGCUGAGCCACCUCUCCAGCCCCAGGUUUUCUAUCUGGAUCUUUAUAUCUGAUAGUCAUAGUUUUCCUUUAAAUUUUUUUUUUUUUUACAUUAUGCUAUUUACUUGUAUGUGGGGGGGCAUGUUUGUGUGGGUGCACACAUGCCACAGCUUAUGCGGUGCACAUGUACAAUGAUGACUCACGUGGUGGUCAGAGGAUACCACAGGAGCCAGUUCUCCUCCCACCACGUGGGACUGAACUCAGGUCAUUAGGCUUGGUGGUGAGUGCCUUCACUGCUGGGCCAUGUCUCUGGCCUCAGUACCCUUUUCAUUGUACAAACCAGUGCAGCUGCAGCUGUGAACACAGGGGGAGCUCUGGGUGCUGCACGCAGGGGCACAGGUCCCCUGCUGGUGGAUGAUAAAAUGAGGUCACUCUCUUUUUUCAGUACAUUCUGAUGUGCUGUCUCUGAGCCAAUGCUGCAGGCAGAGAGGCCAAGGAAACCUUUAUGGUCCCAGGCCCUGAGGAGGUGAGACUCAGUUACUCAUUUAGGGUACAGGAUAAGAUUCAACUAUGUUGACCCCCAGGUCUUGAAAUCUUGGCUCCAUUUCUGGAUUGGGAGAGCAUGCUAACAUUUUGAAAUAUGGUGAAGAUUUUCACACUCAAAAUUUAUAAAUUUAUGGGGCUUGAGAGAUGACUUAGUGGUUAAGAGCAUUUGUGGCUCUUGCAGAGGGCCCAGGCUUGGUUUCCAGUACUCACACAGGGGCUAAUGACCAUCUGUCACUCCAAGGAGAUUUGACACCCUCUUCUGACAUCCAAGGGCAUCAGGUAUGCAAGUGGUACACACACAUAUGCAGGUAAAGCACCCACACACACACAU
rnacentral:lncRNA from 1 species